rnacentral:rRNA from 1 species
CCUACGGGAGGCAGCAGUGAGGAAUAUUGGUCAAUGGACGCAAGUCUGAACCAGCCAAGUAGCGUGCAGGAUGACGGCCCUCCGGGUUGUAAACUGCUUUUAGUUGGGAAUAAAAGGGGGCUCGUGAGCCCCGUAUUGUAUGUACCAUCAGAAAAAGGACCGGCUAAUUCCGUGCCAGCAGCCGCGGUAAUACGGAAGGUCCGGGCGUUAUCCGGAUUUAUUGGGUUUAAAGGGCGUGCAGCCGGAGAGACAAGUCAGAUGUGAAAUCCACGGGCUCAACCCGUGAACUGCAUUUGAAACUGUUUCCGUUGAGUGUCGGAGAGGUAAUCGGAAUGCCUUGUGUAGCGGUGAAAUGCGUAGAUAUAAGGAAGAACACCAGUGGCGAAGGCGGAUUACUGGACGAUAACUGACGGUGAGGCGCGAAAGCGUGGGGAGCAAACAGGAUUAGAUACCCCUGUAGUC